rnacentral:lncRNA from 1 species
AGGAGGGCAGAGGCCACAGACACUGGAUAGGCAGCCAACACAUUUCUACUAUGGAUCCAUACUUUGUGGUUUUCUUUGGCUGCUGCCAGAGCAUGCAGAAGUUCCUGGACCAGGGGUUGAACCCGAGCCACAGCAGCAACCAGAGCCACAGCAGUGACAACAUCGGAUCCUUAAUCUGCUGAGCCACCAGGGAACUCUUGGGUCUGUGUUAGGGUAGGAGAAACUGAGGAUUGAGUCAUUUAUUAAAGGGCAUUUGCUCACUGGCUAUUGAGCAGACGCACAUCUCUCAUCAACAGAUGUCCCUUGAGUGGGAAACAUUGCCUAUUCUGGACCAUCUGGAACCUUGUAUUUUAAUCAAGAGUCUUCGAGUUGCAAGACAUAGAAGCCUAUUCAAGCUAAUUUGAAUAAAACAACAGGGUUUAUUCUCAGAGUACAGGAUUCAAGACCUCAUCCUGUCUUCUCCCACAAAUGACAUUAUAAUCUCAUAUGAUGAAAUGUUAAAAACGGUACACACAUUGCUUAUUGAAAAAAAUAUUAAUUCACCCCAGAGGCCUCUGCAGCCUGUUCAGGGUGGAGCCUCUGUUCCUGUCAUUAUAUUUGGGUUUAGGGAGCUUCAAAUAUAUCUAACCCGUUUUGCAUGCAGUUCUAGCUAGCUCAUUUAAGCUUAAUUAGAUGGAUGUGUUCAAAAAAAGGGAAAGGAACUGAAGUUUCUCAGGAAAAAAAAAUAUAGGGGAUAGAUUGGAAAUCUGGAUGGUGAAAUCUGCUCUCCUCAUUACCCGGCUUAGAUAUUCAGUGACUGUAGCCUCAACUGCAUGCCUGCUCUGCACUGAGCUUGCAUUCUGAUUCUGGUCCCACAGGUGCAAGCCAGAGAUUACUCCAGGCUUGCAAGAGGCAUGCUGGUUUUAUAAAGUUUUCUCCACCUACUCCCGUGCAUGAGCUGGGACCAUGGAAAAACUUCUCAGCCACUCAAGUAUCCAGAGAGGGCGAGGUAUCUUCUGUCUCUUCGUGAAGGUUCCAGACAGCCCUGUUUUGGGGAUGUCAGGUGACUGCGGUGAAGCUGUCAAUCAUAGACCUUGCUCCUGUUACCAUAGAGAUUGGUCAGGUGACUGAAGGCCAGCCAAUCACAAUUACCGUUCCAGUGCAAAGGGCUGCCCUCACAACAGAUGAAGUCAAAAUCUCAAGACUACGUCUCAUUGGUAUGACACAAGUCACAUGUCUGUUCCCAAACCUCUCACAGUGCUUGGGAGAAAAAUAUGCUGAUUAGCGAGGUCUUAGGGGAAUCUUUCUCCACCUCUGAACCCUGUGGACUGGGAGUGAGGAAGAGGAGUUUCCUAAAGACAAGCCUAGGUGAAUUCAUUAGAGGAAUCACAGAUAGAAGCACAGUUACCCACCACUCAUAGGUGCUGGAGAAGUCUGUUUCUCUUCCUAACCUGGGAGUCCUUGGGGGCAGGAAGUUGGGAGAUUCUUCCUGAAGCUACACAUGUAAAAAAUGGGUAGAGGAGUUCCCUGCGUGGCCCAGCAAUUAACAAACCCAACUAAGAUCCAUGAGGAUGUAGGUUCGAUCCCUGGCCUCGCUCAAUGGGUUAAGGAUCUGGCAUUGCCAUGAGCUGUGGUGUGGGUCACAGACACGGCUCGGAUCCUGCAUUGCUCUGUCUGUGGUGCAGGCCGGCAGCCAUAGCUCCAGUUUAGCCCCUAGCCUGGGAACUUCCAUAUGCCUCCGGUGCAGCUUUAAAAAAAAAAAAAAAAAAGCAAAAGGGGGGCAGGGGGCAGAAAAAAGAAACCUUCCAGGGACUAGAGCGUCCUUCCUUUCUCAACUGUUUAUUAAACUGUAAGCAUUGGAAGGACAGGGAUGAACACACACAGACAGGCUCCCUGCCUGCCCUGGGGCUCACGGUCUUGUUGGAGAGGCAGAGAGUGAUGGGCAUCUACUAAUCUUUGUAGGAACAGAGAUUCUUCUCUGCAGCUGAGAACACUCGACAUGAUCAGAGAGUAGUACAGUAACCCUCACAUCUUCCUCAUAAAACCCUUCUAGGAGUUCCUAUCGUGGCUCAGCGGUU